rnacentral:rRNA from 1 species
AUACAGAGGGUGCAAGCGUUAUUCGGAAUUACUGGGCGUAAAGCGCGCGUAGGCGGAUGAUUAAGUCAGUUGUGAAAGCCCUGGGCUCAACCUAGGAACUGCAUCUGAUACUGGUCAUCUAGAGUUUAAGAGAGGGAAGUGGAAUUCCAGGUGUAGCAGUGAAAUGCGUAGAUAUCUGGAGGAACAUCAGUGGCGAAGGCGACUUCCUGGCUUAGAACUGACGCUGAGGUGCGAAAGCGUGGGUAGCGAACGGGAUUAGAAACCCUAGUAGUCC